AGAGUUUGAUCAUGGCUCAGGAUGAACGCUGGCGGCGUGCCUAAAACAUGCAAGUCGAACGGACUCUUAUAAUUGUGCGCUCCGAACCUACGGGUACGGACCGCAACAAUUGUAAGAGUUAGUGGCGGACGGGUGAGUAACACGUUGGUACCUACCCCGAAGUGGGGAAUAACUGCCCGAAAGGGUGGCUAAUACCGCAUAAUACCGCAAGGUUAAAGCAGUAAUGCGCUUCGGGAGGGGCCUGCGUCCCAUUAGCUAGUUGGUGAGGUAAUUGCUCACCAAGGCGACGAUGGGUAGCUGGAUCGAGAGGUUGACCAGCCACACUGGGACUGAGAUACGGCCCAGACUCCUACGGGAGGCAGCAGUUAGGAAUCUUCCACAAUGGACGAAAGUCUGAUGGAGCAACGCCGCGUGCAGGAUGACGGCCUUCGGGUUGUAAACUGCUUUUAUAUGGGAAGAUUAUGACGGUACCAUAUGAAUAAGGACCGGCUAACUACGUGCCAGCAGCCGCGGUAAUACGUAGGGUCCAAGCGUUAUCCGGAAUCACUGGGCGUAAAGCGUGCGUAGGUGGGAGUUUAAGUGAGAUGUUAAAUCGUGUGGCUCAACCAUAUCGGUGCAUCUCAUACUGGACACCUAGAGGACAGCAGAGGCAAGUGGAAUUACGAGUGUAGCAGUGAAAUGCGUAGAGAUUCGUAGGAACACCAAUGGCGAAGGCAGCUUGCUGGGCUACUCCUGACUCUGAGGUACGAAAGCGUGGGGAGCGAACAGGAUUAGAUACCCUAGUAGUCC
rnacentral:rRNA from 1 species